GGGGCUGUGGCUCAAUGGUACAGCCUCUACCUUGCAUGUAGAAGGUCCCAAGUUCGAUCCCUGGCAUCUUCC
rnacentral:tRNA from 1 species